CUGCGGUUCUCGGGUGACUCACCCUGGAACCAGAGAAGAGGGAGCCCAAUUCCGGGAUGUGUCACCUGAGAACUGUCCGG